GAAUCUGGAGACAGGUGCUGCAUGGCUGUCGUCAGCUCGUGUCGUGAGAUGUUGGGUUAAGUCCCGCAACGAGCGCAACCCUUGCCUUUAGUUGCCAGCAGUUCGGCUGGGCACUCUAAAGGGACUGCCGGUGUUAAACCGGAGGAAGGUGGGGAUGACGUCAAGUCCUCAUGGCCUUUAUGACCAGGGCUACACACGUACUACAAUGGCCGAUACAAAGGGCAGCGACACUGCGAGGUGAAGCCAAUCCGUAAAAUCGGUCUCAGUCCGGAUUGGAGUCUGCAACUCGACUCCAUGAAGUUGGAAUCGCUAGUAAUCGUGGAUCAGCAUGCCACGGUGAAUACGUUCCCGGGCCUU
rnacentral:rRNA from 1 species